AAGUAAAUAUUUGAUCCCAUCCCUCUACAGAUCUUCAGACAGGUGGUGCGAUACAGAAGCACAGCCACCAGCCUCAUCCUGGAGAGAUCGAUAAACCGUGUGCAGCUGUUAGGCCGAGUGGGUCAGGACCCAGUGAUGAGACAAGUGGAGGGUCGUAACCCGGUUACCAUCUUCUCCUUAGCAACCAAUGAAAUGUGGCGGUCUGGAGACGGAGAGAUGAGUGCAACAGGUACAUUCUCGAGUCAUACUUGAUGAUAGAAAUACAGAAAAAUAGUUUUUUUAAACUCACUGUGCUUUAUGCUAAAACGGUAAGAAAUCCACAUCACGACAACAAACACAAACUAAAGACCCUCGUAUUUAUUAUGCAUAUAGUAACUAAUCAUGCGCCUGAGGAAAUAGAUUCAAGAUUUCAGCUUGCUUUUGAAAGUAGACAAGAUUGUGACAGAUCUCCGGUCAGCUGGCACAAACUAACGAAAAGUGCCCUCACCAGAUUGGGAUAUUGUUUGGUCAGAUUUUGUUGCUGUCCAGCUGGAAAACGUCAUGACCAUCAACGGACAAUAAAAGCCUCCUCCCAGGCUCAUGAUAGUUUUGAUCUGACACUUCAGAGCCGUUGAGUAAUAAUCUGCCACAAAACAUCCAGACUUGGACUUCCUUAACAGAUGACAAAGUGCUGGAGUCGUGUUGUACAGGGCCCAUUGUAUACGAUUAAAUAUAUUAUUCAACUAUAAUCACACAGGGACAAAAUGCACACUGCAACUAACCAUUGUUUGCAGUCAAUCAAUCUGUCGAUCAUUUUCUCAGUUAAUCCAUUAGUUGUUUGAUCGAUAAAAUGGUGAAAAAAGUCGAUCACUGUUCCCCAAAGCCCAAGAUGACGUCCUCAAAUGUCUCGUUUUGUCCACAACUCAAAGAUGUUCAGUUUACUGUCACAGAGGAGUGAAGAAGCUAGAACAUAUUCACAUUUAAGAAGCUGGAAUCAGAGAAUGUUUACUUCUUCUUUUCGUAAAAUAUGACUCAAACCGAUAAAUUGAUUGUCGAAAUAGUUGCCGAUUAAUUUACAACUCAUCUACUCACUGAUUAAUCUUUGCAGCUCUACACAGCAGCAAUAGUCGCUGAAACACAACAGAUAAGACAUAUUUGUUUACAAAUACGUAUUUUUCCCCACACCACAUUAUGUCUGGCUGGAAUAAAUGCUAACAUGUUGAUGGUUAGUGUUACCAGUAUAUAGUGUUUACCACGUUCACCAUCUUAGUUUGGCGUAUCAGCAACAUCUGCUAACAAGCAUUAAACACAAACAUUCCUGUUGUAUGACCAUU